rnacentral:rRNA from 1 species
AUCCUAACCGUGCAAAGGUAGCGCAAUCUAUUGUCCCGUACAUCGGGACUAGUAUGAAUGGCCAUACGAGGUCUUAACUGUCUCUUACAGGCAAUCGGUGAAAUUGAUCUCCCUGUGCAAAAGCAGGGAUAAAAACAUAAGACGAGAAGACCCUGUGGAACUUUAAAAACAGCAGCCACUCCCAAAUACAUUCACACCCACCCCGGGCUCACUUAUUAAAGGGUUGACUGGCUAGCAUUUUUUCGGUUGGGGCGACCUUGGAGCAAAACAAAACCUCCAAACAUUGGACCAAAAAUCCAGACUAAGAGCGACUUCUCAACGUGCGAAUAGCAACCAGAUCCAAUAUAAUUGAUCAAUGGACCAAGCUACCCCAGGGAUAACAGCGCAAUCUCCUCCAAGAGUCCAUAUCGACGGGGAGGUUUACGACCUCGAUGUUGGAUCAGGACAUCCUAGUGGUGCAGCAGCUACUAA